UUCACCUUUAACCGAGCUACUAUCGAGCAGGUAGUGUCGAAUGACUUGAGAUCGGUACUAUUUCGGUACUCCUGUCGUACAUGACACAUCGACCUAUGUCGAUCGGGUGUCCACACUAAGUUGGGCGUCAAUAUGGUGAACUGAGGGGAACCUUCGUCCACCAGGUUGAAUAAAGAGGAACGUAUCAGUCCAGGUUGGAAACAUAGCAGACAAAAGUUCCCGCGUCAAACAGUAGUGAGAUAGCACUUGUGAAUAGGCGUGCGACAG
rnacentral:sRNA from 1 species